rnacentral:rRNA from 1 species
GACGAACCGAGCGAACGUUGUUCGGAAUUACUGGGCGUAAAGCGCGCGUAGGCGGGUCUGAAAGUCGAUUGUGAAAUCCCUGGGCUUAACCUGGGAAUGGCAGUCGAAACUUCAGAUCUUGAGUGCCUGAGAGGAUGGCGGAAUAACCGGUGUAGUAGUGAAAUACGUAGAUAUCGGUUAGAACACCUGAGGCGAAGGCGGCUAUCUGGCGGUGCACUGACGCUGAGGCGCGAAAGCGUGGGGAGCAAACAGG